rnacentral:rRNA from 1 species
UACAGAGGGUGCAAGCGUUGUUCGGAAUUAUUGGGCGUAAAGCGCGUGUAGGCGGCUUAGCAAGUCGGGCGUGAAAGCCCUCGGCUCAACCGAGGAAGUGCACCCGAAACUGCUGAGCUUGAGUGCCGGAGAGGAUGGCGGAAUUCCCCAAGUAGAGGUGAAAUUCGUAGAUAUGGGGAGGAACACCGGUGGCGAAGGAGGCCAUCUGGACGGUAACUGACGCUGAGACGCGAAAGCGUGGGGAGCAAACAGG